UGAAACCGUAUGUCUACAAGCAGUCGGAGCGAAAGCGACGGCGUGCCUAUUGAAGAAUGAACCAACGAGUUAUCUGCACUAGCGAGGUUAAGUGGAAGACACGGAGCCGUAGCGAAAGCGAGUCUGAAAAGGGCGGCGAGUUAGUGUAGGUAGACCCGAAACCGCAGUGAUCUACCCAUGUCCAGGUUGAAGCGCAGGUAAAAAUGCGUGGAGGACCGAACCGGUGAGCGUUGAAAAGCUUUCGGAUGAGAUGUGGGUAGGGGUGAAAUUCCAAUCGAACGCGGAGAUAGCUGGUUCUCCCCGAAAUAGCUUUAGGGCUAGCCUCAGGUAGUAAGUAUAGGCGGUAGAGCACUGAUCGGGCUAGGGGCCAUAAAGGUUACCGAACCCUGUCAAACUCCGAAUGGAUAUACUGCAGAGCCUGGGAGUCAGACUACGAGUGAUAAGAUCCGUGGUCAAAAGGGAAACAGCCCAGACCACCGGCUAAGGUCCCAAAUGCCGUACUAAGUGGAAAAGGAUGUGGGGAUUCAUAAACAACCAGGAUGUUGGCUCAGAAGCAGCCACCAUUUAAAGAGUGCGUAAUAGCUCACUGGUCGAGAGUCCCUGCGCCGAAAAUUUCCGGGGCUAAAGUACGGAACCGAAGCCGUGGCUGUGUACUUAGGUGCACGGGGUAGGGGAGCGUUGCCACAGGGGUGAAGCUGGUCUGGAAGGACUGGUGGACUUGUGGGAAGUGAGAAUGUUGGUAUGAGUAGCGAAAAGAUAGGUGAGAAUCCUAUCCACCGAAAGCAUAAGGAUUCCUGAGCAACGAUCGUCGUCUCAGGGUAAGUCGGGACCUAAUCCGAGGCAAAGAGCGUAGGAGAUGGACAACAGGUUGAUAUUCCUGUACCGGCAGCAAUUGUUUGAGCGAAGGAGUGACACAGAAGGGCAGGCAGGCGCGAGACUGGAUUGUCGCGUGCAAGCGUGUAGGGUAGUGUACAGGCAAAUCCGUACACUGAGAGCCUGAGGCGUUACGCGGAGCGAGCAGAGAUGCGAGCGAAGCUGCUGAUCCCACACUGUCGAGAAAAGCUUCUAGUGAGAGAGCUGCCGCCCGUACCGUAAACCGACACAGGUAUGCGGGGAGAGAAUCCUAAGGUGCGCGGGAGAACCCUCGUUAAGGAACUCGGCAAAAUGUACCCGUAACUUCGGGAUAAGGGUAGCCGUCUUGGUGAAGGAGCAUGCCUCUGGAGCUGAAGGCGGUCGCAGAGAAGAGGCCCAAGCGACUGUUUACCACAAACACAGGUGCCUGCUAAAGCGAAAGCUGACGUAUAGGUGCUGACACCUGCCCAGUGCUGGAAGGUUAAGGAAGGAUGUCCGGGCAACCAAAGCAUUCGACCGAAGCCCCAGUGAACGGCGGCCGUAACUAUAACGGUCCUAAGGUAGCGAAAUUCCUUGUCGGGUAAGUUCCGACCCGCACGAAAGGUGUAACGAUUUGGGCACUGUCUCAACGAGGGACCCGGUGAAAUUGAAAUACCUGUGAAGAUGCAGGUUACCCGCGACUGGACAGAAAGACCCCAUGGAGCUUUACUGUAACCUGACAUUGGGUUUUGUUGUAUUACGUACAGGAUAGGUGGGAGGCUUAGAAGGCUGGACGCUAGUCUGGCUGGAGCCGGCGUUGGGAUACCACCCUUGAUACAACGGAAUUCUAACCGAGAGAGUAACGAAAUCCGGGACAGUGUCAGGCGGGCAGUUUGACUGGGGCGGUCG
rnacentral:rRNA from 1 species